AUUGAACGCUGGCGGCAUGCCUUACACAUGCAAGUCGAACGGUAACGGGCCUUCGGGUGCCGACGAGUGGCGAACGGGUGAGUAACAUAUCGGAACGUACCUUUCAGUGGGGGAUAACGUAGCGAAAGUUACGCUAAUACCGCAUAUUCUGUGCGCAAGAAAGCAGGGGACCUUCGGGCCUUGCGCUGAUUGAGCGGCCGAUAUCAGAUUAGCUAGUUGGUGAGGUAAAGGCUCACCAAGGCGACGAUCUGUAGCGGGUCUGAGAGGAUGAUCCGCCACACUGGAACUGAGACACGGUCCAGACUCCUACGGGAGGCAGCAGUGGGGAAUUUUGGACAAUGGGGGCAACCCUGAUCCAGCCAUGCCGCGUGAAUGAAGAAGGCCUUCGGGUUGUAAAGCUCUUUCGGCCGGGAAGAAAUCGUAUGGGCUAAUACCCUGUGCGGAUGACGGUACCGGCAUAAGAAGCACCGGCUAACUACGUGCCAGCCGCCGCGGUAAGAC
rnacentral:rRNA from 1 species